AGUGAACGCUGGCGGUAUGCCUAACACAUGCAAGUCGAACGGCAGCACAGUAAGAGCUUGCUCUUACUGGUGGCGAGUGGCGGGUGGGUGAGGCGUGCAUCGGAAACUACUUUUUCGUGGGGGAUAACGUAGGGAAACUUACGCUAAUACCGCAUAUGUUGUACGGCUGAAAGCAAGGGAUCUUCGGACCUUUCGCGAUUGAAUUAGCUGGUGCCGGAUUAGCUAGUUGGCUUGGUAAAGGCCCACCAAGGCAACGAUCCGUAGCUGGUCUGAGAGGAUGAUCAGCCACACUGGAACUGAGACACGGUCCAGACUCCUACGGGAGGCAGCAGUGGGGAAUAUUGGGCAAUGGGCGAAAGCCUGAUCCAGCCAUGCCGCGUGGGUGAUGAAGGCCUUCGGGUUGUAAAGCCCUUUUGUUGGGAAAGAAAAGCUGCAGAUUAAUACCCCGAUGUUCUGACGGUACCCAAAGAGUAAGCACCGGCUAACUUCGUG
rnacentral:rRNA from 1 species